rnacentral:misc_RNA from 1 species
UUUCAACAAAAAAAGAGAAAGGUCCUAGUGAAUUAGGUGCCAAAGAAUAUCAAAGAUAGUGAGAACAUUAAUAUUUAAAAGCAGGAAGUUGUUCCUUCACACCGUUCAGUAGACAGCCUCUUUAAAAAAUUUACAGAAGUAAUGAUUUGAAAGAAAAAAGACAUGUUUACUUAGUUCAAAUCAUAGUUAUUAAAGAAGCGCCUCAAGCUCAAAGCUCACUAAGCUCCAGCACUAGCG